GCACUGCUGAGGAGUCCAACAAUGAGACGAAACGGCCGUCCAGUGC
rfam:Schistosoma curassoni strain Dakar, Senegal genome assembly, scaffold: SCTD_scaffold0001302